rnacentral:rRNA from 1 species
GACAGAGGGUGCAAACGUUGUUCGGAAUUACUGGGCGUAAAGCGCGUGUAGGCUGCCCCGCAAGUCGGGAUGUGAAAGCCCUGGGCUCAACCUAGGAAGUGCAUUCGAAACUGCGGGCUGGAGCCUGGAGAGGAAGGCGGAAUUCUCGGUGUAGAGGUGAAAUUCGUAGAUAUCGAGAGGAACACCGGUGGCGAAGGCGGCCUUCUGGACAGUGACUGA